ACGACCAAAUAGGGAAUGCUUAGAGAAAAACCUCCACCACCAUGGGUUUGACGGGAAUCAUCUUAACAAACUCUGCAUUACCACUCAUUAAGGACUUUGGGAACUUUCUUUGUUCAUCUUCAAAUUCCAUUCAGUCUAUCCCCCCUGGAAGCAAUCUCGUAAUGAAACCGUCAUCACCCCAUGUCUUGCUCUUCCAUUGGCAUCCCCUGUGAGCAUCCUCCGACACAGAACUUACCCAUUUUUGCCCUCCCGAAAUCUCAAUCCAUAUGUAGCAUUUGUGAAAAGUUACCAAGAAACUAAAAAAGAUGAGUAAAAACAAAUGGUGAAAGAAACACAUAAAAUGGAAGAAAAUAAAAAUGAAAAAAAAAAAAAAAAAAAACCCAAUGAAGCCACAUCUCGAGGUCACUUAAUGGGCUCAAAACAGGUGGGAUAAACAGGAAGUUUUCAAUUUAACUAUCAAACAUUAAACCCAAAGAAGAAUCCAGUCGUUCACAAGAGAAAAGAUCAAGAAUAUGAGAGAUAACAAAACAAAGCAAGUAUAUGCAGAUCAUCAUGUUUAACCAAAACAACCCUGUGGCCCUUGACGUCCACAGCAAAGAAUAAACGAUACCCAAGGAUCAACAGAGAAUGAAGUAGAAUAUUAAGAAACGGAAAUAUAUUAAGUUAGAAGCGGCCUCACCUAGUAAUCCACAUCUCAAACUUCCUCUGUUUCUCCUUCUUCAACUAUCUCUCCAAACUACUCUCUCAAAAAUCUUCGAUUAUCUCCCACAAAAAAAAAAUAUAUCCUCUGUCUCUCCUUUGGCUUGCUUCACUUCCUUCUCUAACUCUUGAGAACACCCCCCAAAAUCUCUCACCUUCCUUGCAAAAAAAAAAAAAAAACUGAAUACACUUCCCUAUUUUCUGU
rnacentral:lncRNA from 1 species